CUAAGACAAGGUCUGCAGAGAGCGACUGAAGGACAUGUACUCCGAGGCGCACAUCCAGUGCGUCAUCUCCUACCACCAUGAGGUGCUUGGCCAGAAGGUGACGAAGAAACAGGCCACAGAGAUGAUCAUGUUGCCCGACACUGACAUCACCAGGGAGCAGUACAUGCAGUUUCCUACUGAUUGGUGCAAAUCGCACAUGGACUGCUGGGCUCAGAUUGUGGACUCGUGGCAGAGGCCGGAGGCGUACGAGGAGCGCAAAAAAGACGGGAGAACCUCCUGACCACGAUGAGAGGGGCGUCACACCACCAGGGGAGCGUGCCCCUUCCAGGGACGGGUCCGACGCAUACACCAACACUGCCGCCUACGAGAAGAUGUGCGCGUACGCCACUGCAGCUCGCACACGCCAUGGUGAUGACUUCGACCUUACCACCGAGCCACUGGACACGGACCUGCUCAUGAGGACGGGAGGGAAGCAGCACGGUCGGUACAUGAUUGCCCACAGCGCAAUCAACCCGGCCACCGUACCCACGCUCCGCGAGGUUCGGCAGGGGGAGCAGCUCGACCUCUGAUGUCCCCAUACAGCCUCGUUAGUCGAGCUCCAGCAGAUGGCUGCGAUGCAGAUGCGUUUCAGUUGCAGCUAGAGGAGGUUCGGGCCAGGCAGGACGAGCUGCAGGAGGCCCAUCGGCGAGAGCUGGCGGCCAGAGACGAGGCCCAUCGGCGCCACAUGGAGGCACAGCAGCAGCACACGCAGCGUCAGAUCUCGGACCUAGUCAACUACUUCCAGUCGUUCUAGAGCUCUAGAGCGCCUCCGUUGCCUGCCUCGCUCUUUGCUCCACCCCCUGUUCCACCCUCUCUUCCUGCCCCUGCAGGGAGUCCGCAUCAGUCGUGGGGUUCAAACCCGACCCCUUCUUCAGGCAGCGGGUGGCAGGUUAGUCCUUAUGGCCACCCGAGUACGCAGCACACGUGGCCUGGUGCCCAUUCGCAGCACGGCCACCCUGGGUUGUCCGGCAACCCUCCUCCGCGCCCUGGAUACUCGUACCCGUACCAGUCGGCGCCAGGGCAGGCCAUGUGGGCGCCGUGGGCAGGUGGGAGCUCUCCACACCCUAGGGGGCACUCACCCUGGUUGGCGUGGCCAGAUGGGGGCUCGGGACACGACGGUGGCCACGACGACGACGGGUCAGAGUCACAACACUAGGGGUGAGGCGCUAGCGACUUCGAGUAGUGAUAUUGAUGUGAACUUGUGGUUUAUGUUAUGAACCUGUGGCUUAUGUUAUGAACUUGUGGCGACUUUAUGUUAGAUUUGUCAUAUCUAUGUGGAUUUGUGAUAUCUGUGGACUUCAAUAUAUUUCAUGUGUGAUUUAUA